rnacentral:rRNA from 1 species
GAUGAACGCUAGCGGCAGGCCUAAUACAUUCAAGUCGGACGGGAUUCACCAGCUUGCUGGUGAUGAGAGUGGCGCACGGGUGCGUAACGCGUGAGCAACCUGCCCAUCUCAGGGGGAUAGCCCGGAUAAAUCCGGAUUAAGACCGCAUCAUACAGAUUGACUGCAUGGUUAAACUGUUACAUAUUUAUAGGAUAUGGAUGGGCUCGCGUGACAUUAGCUAGUUGGUAGGGUAACGGCCUACCAAGGCGACGAUGUCUAGGGGCUCUGAGAGGAGAAUCCCCCACACUGGUACUGAGACACGGACCAGACUCCUACGGGAGGCAGCAGUAAGGAAUAUUGGUCAAUGGAGGCAACUCUGAACCAGCCAUGCCGCGUGCAGGAAGACGGCCCUACGGGUUGUAAACUGCUUUUGUACGGGAAUAACCCCCAAUACGGGUAUUGGGCUGAAUGUACCGUAAGAAUAAGGAUCGGCUAACUCCGUGCCAGCCGCCGCCGUAA